GACAAGGAAAACUCUUUUAAGGAGUGAAUGGGAGACAAUUGAGUGCUAGCUCAAAAACGGACAUUAGCAUGAUUUCGUGAAAAAGAAUAUCUUCAGAUAUGUGAGAUAAUUAACUUGUUCACUGUAAUAUCGUAUAGCUUUGAAAUAGACACAUCACGUACUUUCGAGGAAAAUAGGCAGGUUUCUCGACCCAUACCCUGACUUUGAGAAGGGAUUGCGUGAUGGCUGAUGAAGAGCGAGGCCCAACUCAGCGGGAAAUCUGUCUCCCUCCAGCUGGUGGCGUUUUUUCGUUGUUUUGCCCAACAAGUUUUUGUAUGGAGGUCAAUGUAUCGAAUUUGGUCAACAACAAAAAAUAAUAGCUUAUUUGCUACGUGAGGUUUAUAUGAUCGAAUAUAUGUUUCGUAAUGCUUAAGUUGUCUGGAGUGUUCUGAUAUAAGUAGGAUAUGUGAAAUGUCGUCAAAAAACACUAUUGGAUAGUAGGAUAGCCUCUCCCUCUCUCCAUUGAAUACAGGUGGUUGCCGUCAACAACCCUCAUAGAAUAUUCAAAAAGGAUUACAAUAAUGAGAUGUAUCCACCAAUCUAAAAAAAAAAAAAAAAAGAUAGGGGGGAGCUAUACAGCCAGUCAUGACGCUUUGUGGACAAUGACUCCUAUUUCUAGGGCGGAGAGACAUGUAUCUUGUCAGUAUAUCCAUAAUCUUUGGUGACGAUUAGUUCAGCAACAGCGUGACGCAGCAUGACAACACGAUUGGUCGACAGACUGCUGGGUGGGGUCAUUCAUUAGCCAGUUAACGUGCUCUCAUGGCCACACCCUCACUGUGAUGAACUACAGCAUGCAGGGAUUGUUUGUACAGGCACUUGCCCUGAGACAGUUGCUAAGGUGGAGUACCCACAAGCUGCUGAACCCUGGACACGGACCCUACUGGACACUACACACUCGCCAGCUGUGUUGUUCCUCCAUGACCAUUGGGACACACAAGCGCCCUACACACUGGAGUUCAGCUAAGACCUGGUCAGGUCUUCAUCAAGUGAGGUUCAAAAGCAGCAAAAAGGAGGCGCCAAGGCUGUACAGGAUGAGGAAGAUGAUGAAAAGGAUCCUGAGCACAGUGACUAUGAGGAUGAACCUGAGGAUGACUCCCCAGUGUACCCAAAGACUACAAAGACAUGGAGAAAUAUGUGCAGUCGUUUCAUUAUGGUAUCAUGAAAGUUGGCCUUGAUAUAGCACGCAGGUUAAAGUUGUAGACACCUUGGACCUGGUAUUGUCAGAGAAAGAAACAGACACUGUCACACUUUUGAGAGUCAUCAUUAAGAAGGAAUUGGGCAAAUCCAAGGAUGGAGACCAGUACAACGUUGUUCUGAGGCGCUGGAAAAACUUGGAACUUCCAAAGCAGAAUGCCUUCAAAUAAUGAGUUUUCAGCGGACAAUACUGACUAUACUUCUCGCCAUUGACAAGGGAAUUGUAAUAUCUACAUUUUGCAUGAUGUUACAUCAAAGGGAAUGGUUCAGUUUUUACAGUAGUCCUCUUGGUACAGUUGAAGUUGGAAGUUUACAUACACCUUAGCCAAAUGCAUUUAAACUCAGUUUUUCUCAAUUCCUGACAUUUAAUUCAGCUUUUAUUUAUUU